rnacentral:rRNA from 1 species
AUGCCGGUUCCAGCCAAAAAGAACACUAGUUCCAGCAAAAUCCCAGAAAUAACAAAUCUCCAACCAAUUCGAUGUAGCAAAACAAAAAGGCGGUUCCAACAAAAAAUUAUUAUGGUUCCAGCAAAAAUACCACAAACAUCAAACUUCAAGAAAUUUGAUUGUAGCAAAACAAACAGCCGGUUCCAGCAACACUUUACCCCGGUUCCAGCAAAAAUCCCACUAACAGCAAACUCCAAACACAAAAUCGAUUGCAGCAAAGGAAACAAUCGGUCCCAGCUACAAAUUACUGCCGUUCCAGCAAAAAUCCCAGAAAUAGCAAACUCCAAGGAAACUUGA